CCCCUGGUGGUCUAGUGACUAAGACUCUUGGUUUUCAUUCAGGUUACCCAGGUUCAAUUCCUGGGCAAGGAA
rnacentral:tRNA from 1 species